rnacentral:lncRNA from 1 species
AGCAAUUAAGGGUGGCAUCUUGCUGAAAGAUAGCAAGGAGCUAAGGCCCUCAGUCUGACAGCCCACCAGUAACUGAAUCACACCAAUACCCAUGUGAAAUAGGAAGCAGAUUCUUCCCCAGUUGAACCUGAAAUCAAAUCUGAGUCCUGGACAGCAUAGCAAUAGAAGCAUUGUAAGAGAUCCUAAAGGAUAUGGCUACCAGGAGAAAGCUUGCUUGUUGGUGGGAAGAUUCCUUUUCAGUUGUCUGAAGGAGACCCAGUAAUGAAUGCCCUUUGUGCCUACACUGGGUUCGUUUAUCUUGACAUGGCCGUCAACUGCAGCUGCAGACCUCAACCUAUGCCAGAAUGAUGGUGGUGACUUGUACAAAGAAAUGUUAGAGAAAGAGCCACUGUAAAGACAACAUUGCCAAGACAUGGAAUCAGUCCAAAUGUCCAUCAGUGGCUGAGUGGAUAAAGAAAACAUGGAAUAUAUACAAAAUGGAAUAAUAAACGGCCAUAAAAAAUAUCAAAAUCCUGUCAUUUGCAACAUGAAUGAACCUGGAAAACAUUAUGCUGAGUGAAAUAAGAAGGAGUGUUAAGUCUGAUAUUGAAGAAUCCAGUUUAUCCAGGUCAGUGAAAUCCAGAAUGUUCUGUCUGGCAUCAUUAAUUGUGGAGCUGAAGAUGUGUAGAUUUCUAAAUCUAUAAACAGAUGUGAUAUACAGGCUGUAUACAUGUUAGGGUCCCUGUACAAGGUUUUCCUUUCAUGUCAUUAAAUAAAAAUACUGGCAGCUUCU